rnacentral:rRNA from 1 species
UACAGAGGUCCCAAGCGUUGUUCGGAUUCACUGGGCGUAAAGGGUGCGUAGGCGGUCGGGUAAGUCUGAUGUGAAAUCUCACAGCUUAACUGUGAAACUGCAUUGGAUACUAUUCGGCUAGAGAGUUGGAGGGGGGACUGGAAUUCUUGGUGUAGCAGUGAAAUGCGUAGAUAUCAAGAGGAACACCAGUGGCGAAGGCGGCUCACUGGACGAUUGUUGACGCUGAGGUGCGAAAGCGUGGGGAGCAAACAGG